GACCGGACUCCUAAGUGCAUCAGCGUGACGUCAGAACCGUACAUCGACUGUCCCGAUGACGUGUAUGUUAACCUCGAAGUCAACAGGUCGACGAUCGUCGUGAAGAAUCUUCCUAAGCCCGUCACCAAUCUGGACGAUAUUGAGGCGUCUCCGGCCGUGGGUGCUUGCGCCAGCGCUGUCUAUCCCG